ACUCAAAUGAAUAGACGGGGCCCCGCACAAGCAGCGGAGCGUGUGGUUUAAUUCGAUGAUACACGAAGAACCUUACCAGGGUUUGACAUGCUAGUGGUAGGGAUCCGAAAGGUGACCGACCCCUCGGGGAGCUAGCACAGGUGCUGCAUGGCUGUCGUCAGCUCGUGUCGUGAGAUGUUCGGUUAAGUCCGCUAACGAGCGCAACCCCUGCUGUGUGUUACAUGUGUCACACGGGACUGCCGGUCUUAAACCGGAGGAAGGUGGGGAUGACGUCAAGUCAGCAUGGCCUUUAUGUCCUGGGCUACACACACGCUACAAUGGCCGGUACAAUAGGUUGCGAAGCCGCGAGGCGGAGCCAAUCCUCAAAGCCGGCCUCAGUUCAGAUUGCAGGCUGCAACCCGCCUGCAUGAAGAUGGAGUUGCUAGUAACCGCAGGUCAGCUAUACUGCGGUGAAUACGUUCCCGGGGCUUGCACACACCGCCCGU
rnacentral:rRNA from 1 species